UUUUUUUUUUUUUUUUUUUUUUUUUUUUUUUUUUUUGAGGGCCACACCUGCGGCAUAUGUAACUUCCUAGGCUAGGAGUUGAAUUGGAGCUGCAGCUGUCGGUCUCUACCACAGCCACAGCAACGCCAGAUCCAAGCUGUGUCUGCAAUCUACACCACAGCUCAUGGCAAUGCUGGAUCUUUAACCCACUGAGUGGGGCCAGGGAUCGAACCCGCAUCCUUGUGGAUACUAGUGCUGUUCAUAACCUGCUGAGCCACAAGAACUCCCUCUCCUCCAUUUCUAAACUACUGUGAUACAAAAUUCAACAACUAUUCCAGGAAUAAAUAAUGCCAGUGCACAAAUGCUUCCAGAGAAGAGAGUAGAAGGGAGCCCCUCUCAGCACACAACUCAUUUAAUGAAGCCCUGAUAGAAAAACCAGGCAGGGGCAGAUUAAGAAAGGAAAAUCAAGAGUUGCCAUUGUGGUGUAAUAGAAAUGAAUCUGACUAAUGUCCAUGGGUAUGCAUUUUCAAUCCCUGGCCUUGAUCAGUGGGUUGGGGAUCUGGAGCUGCCAUGAGCAGACAGCUUGGAUCCUGCAUUGCUGUGGCAGUGCUGUAGGCUAGCAGCUGUAGAUCUGAUUUGAUCCCUAGCCUCUUCACAUGACUCAGGUGUGGCCCUAAAAAGGGGGGGGGGGGGGUUGGAAAAAUCACAGCCAAUUCUACACCUAAACAUAGAAGAAUUCCAAACAAACAGAAGCAAUCUGAAUCCAGCAAUACAUAAAAAAAAAAUACACCAGAUCCAAGUGAAGUUUACCUGAGGAGUACAAGGUUGGUUUAAUACUAGAAAGAUCACCAUAUGUAAAAACUGAAGUAGCAUAAAAGCACAUGGUCAUUUGAAAGGAAAUAGAAAAAAGAAAAACAUUAGAAAUCUUAUAAAGAAAUUACAAAGAAUGUAGCCAAUGUGCUUACUGAUGAACCUUAAAAGCAAUUUCUUUGAGAGCUUUUGAAGGUAAUCAUUUAAACUAGCAUUUCACAAAUAUAAAAUAUCUAGGAAUGAAUUUAUUAAGACAUGUGCCAGACCUCACGAUAUUAAUCUUUGAAGCCAGUGCCAUCCCAGCUACAAUCCUGAACUAGGAAUCUGAGGAAAGGCAAAAAGAACUAAGAUAUUUGAGAGAGAGAAAAAGAAAGAGAGGAAAACAAGGGAGGGAAUUUAACAGCUUCAGCAGAACUACCACAAUGUUACAGUAAAUUAAACAAUGUGCUGGCAUAGAGGUAAACAAACAGGCUGAAGAGACAGACUUCAUAGACCAGAAACAAACCCAUGGGUUCAGGGAAAUGGAUGAUGGGAGCAGCCCUACAGAUCAGUGGGAAAUAAAGAGACUAUUCAUUCAAUAAAUUGUGGUCCAAAAACUAUCCAUUUGGAAAAAAAUAAAACUGGACUACUUCACACAAAACAUAAAGAUGAGGUAAAAACUCAAAUGUGAAAAAUUAGAAUCUUUUAGAAAAUAUUUUCAUGAACUCAGAGACAGGAAGGAGUUUUUAAAACUAGAUACAAAGAGUACAGUCCAUAAGGCAAAAGAGUGGUAGAAUUGGCCAUUAUUAAUGUUAAAACUUCUCUAUAGGAGUUCCCAUCAUGGCUCAUGGUUAACAAAACUGACUAGCAAUCAUGAGGAUGCAGGUUUGAUCCCUGGCCUUGAUAAGUGGGUUAAGGAUCCCGAGUUGCCAUGAGCUGUGGUGUAGGCAGGUGGCUGCAGCUCCGAUUUGACCCCAGCCUGGGAACCUCCAUAUGCCACAGGUGCGGCCUAAAAAGACAGAAGACAAAAAAAAAAAAAAAAAAAAAAACUUCUAUAUAGACUGGAAUAAAAUAUUUGCAAUCCGUUUAACUAGUAAAUAACUUAUAAACUUAAACAUUAAAGAACUCUUGGAGUUCCCCGGUGGCCUAGUAGUUAAGGAUCUGGCAUUGCCACUGCUGUGUGGCUUGGGUUAUUGCUGUGGCAUGGGUUUGAUUCCCAGACCAGGAAAUUCCACAUGCCAAAAAAAUUAAAACAUUUUUUAGGCACAGCCAAAAAAAUUAAAAUUUCAGUUCAGCAAAACACACCCUAAACAAGUUCCCAUUGUGGAAACUACAGCUCAGAUCUGAACCCUAGCCCAGGAACUCCAUAUACCAAGGGGUGGCCAAAAAAAAUAAAUAAAGGGGAUUUAUUAAAAAAAAAGAAUGGGGUCAGGGCUGGAGCCUCAAACUGAGAGAAGAUAUUAGCAAGACAUAACAAGCAAAGCAUGCCUAUCUCAAAGAAAGCAAUCUAAUAGAAAAAUGGUGGAGUUCCCAUAGUGGCUCAGUGGAAACAAAUUCAACUAGUAGCAAUGAGGAUGAGGGUUCAAUCCCUGGCCUCGCUCAGUGGGUCAGGGAUCUGGCAUUGCCAUGAGCUGUGGUGUAGGUCACAUACAAGGCUCAGACCCCAAGUUGCUGUGGCUGUGGUGUAGUCCGGCAGCUAUAGCUUCAAUUCGACCCCUAGUCUGGGAACUUCCAUGUGCCUUGGGUAUAGCCCUAAAAAGCAAAAAAGAAAAAUGGGCAAAGGGAGAGCCCAGAGCAAGCUGCCCCUGUGUCCCAGCCAAGACUCCACAGUUCUGGCCAAGACAGUGGGGGCGGAGGUGGAAGUCUUCUGAUCCCGUCUAUUAUUUGUGCCUUGACAACCACCCUGCGGAGGUGAGGGGCAUGUCCUUCACUGUCCUUUUAUGAAACCCGAGAAAGCAUGAGUCUUAGACACAGAAAGACCAUUUGCCAGGGAAUCUGGGGACAGCACACACUCUGCUCUCUUCUCUCAGUGCCUGUCAUCUGGGACAGAACAGAUGACAGUCACAGACGGUCCCAUCGGCCGCCCACAGGGAAAAGUCAGGACUUGGUGAUGCCAGGAGGUUCCAGAUCCCAAAGAGAUGGUUAGCCUGCGUGUCCCCCGCAAACAGAGCCUCUUCAAGUUCCCCGACUCCAUCCUGGCACCUCUCCAUCCUCAAAACCAUUGCUGGAGAUGUCUGAGCAGGUGUCCCCUCUUCAAGGCUCUUCACCAGGGUCUCCCAUAGUGCCAUACCUGCCCCCCUCCACCCCGGCUCUGGCUCCUUCCCAGCUUCCACGCCUCCAUGUGGCCAACCCUGGUGGCAUGUGUCCUUGAAUGUGCAGCUCCAGCUCUCCCCGCCUUUGCCCAUGCAUGCAUGCCGCCUUCAGAAUGUCCUCUCUUCCCUAAGGAUGAGUUCUCCUCUGAAAACCAACUCAGAUGCCACCAGUUCCUCGAAGCCCUCUAGUUAUCCCCAGAGUAAAUGGCUCCCUUCUCUGGGCCACACCAGGGCCUUACACCCCCUCCUCUCAGUUACACAUAACUGGUCUCAGUCUCUCCCAUCUGCCUGACCGUAUCUGCCUGAGACCAGGAUCCGUUCUUAUCCUCUCUGAUACCUGGCAUGUGCACAGGUAUGCGUCAAAAGUCUAAUUUGAGUCUGCAGAUGUUACUUAAAUCAGUGGCUACAGACUGUGUUAAUUUAUUUUUUUAGCUUUAUAGCUGUUUAUCUAUUGUUUCUUUACUGUCUCCAAAUCUCAAAUCCCUCUCAAGCACUGUCUCUGGUCCUACUUCAAUUAUAUGUAUCAUGAAGCCAACCUUGAGAGUUUAUACGCAUAUGAAUGUAAACAGAAAAUGGAAGUGGUUUUGUUAUGUUUUGUUUCUUUUCACAGCUGCACCAGAGGCACAUGGAAGUUCCCAGGCUAUGGAUAGAAUUGGAGCUGCAAGUGCAGGCCUAUGCCGCAGCCACAGAAAUGCCAAAUCCGAGCUGCAUCUGUGACCCACGCUGCAGCUUGCGGCAACACUGGAUCCUUAACCCACUGAGCGAGGCCACAGAUGGAACUUGUAUCCUCAAGGACACUGUGUUGGGUUCUUAACCCACUGAGCCACAAUAGGAACUCUAAAGACGGAGGCAUUUUGUAAUUGAUAGAGGGUUGAAGUUCAUAAAUGUUUUUCAGGGUACAUUUUUGUUUUGUCUUUAAAAUACUGAUAUCCUAACAUUCAUUUGAAUGGAGAAAAUUCGAUUAGCCUCCGUAACUUUUUUGGUUUUUUUUUGUUUUGUUUUGUUUUGUCUUUUUGGGGCUGCACCCAAGGCAUAUGUAGGUUCCCAGGCUAGGGGUCUAAUCGGAGCUGUAGUCACCAGCCUACACCAGAGCCACAGCAACGCCAGAUCUGAGCUGUGUCUGUGAUCUACACCACAGCUCAUGGCAAUGCCAGAUCCUUAGCUCACUGAGCGAGGCCAGGGAUUGAACCCGCAGCCUCAUGGUUCCUAAUCGGAUUUGUUUCUGCUAUGCCAUGACUGGAACUCCUAGCCUCUGUAUUAAUUAAGGUUUCAAUCUGGGAACAUCUGCAGGUUUUUCUAAACUUGUUUAAAGAAUCAUUAAAAGAUAAAUGUGCACACACAUAUUUAAGAAGCAAACAUGCACAUUAAAAAAAAUUAUCUUUCUAGGCUCUUAGAGUUACUUUCAGGAGGGAACAGCAAGCUCAGUGCCUAGGGUUUAAAGCAUAAAUGGUAAAAAACCUUCUCUCUCAGAACUGCCAAUUCAAAUCUACAUUCAGUAGAAUUUUUGUUCUAUUGCCUGUUUUUAAGAAAUUCAGGACAAUCCCCAGAAAGAUCAAUAUCCAAAUAUGCGAAAGCAUGUCAUUUACAGAAGCAUGCUAAGAAGUUAGAGUAAGUCUUGGAGUCCCCAUCGUGGCGCAGUGGUUAAUGAAUCUGACUAGGAACCAUGAGGUCGCGGGUUCAGUCCCUGCCCUUGCUCAGUGGGUUAAGGAUCCGGCAUUGCCAUGAGCUGUGGUGUAGAUUGCAGACGCAGCUCCGAUCCCACAUUGUUGUGGUUCUGGCGUAGGCUGGUGGCUACAGCUCUGAUUAGACCCCUAGCCUGGAAACUUCCAUGUGCCGCGGGAGCGACCCAAGAAAUAGCAAAAAGACAAAAAAAAAAAAAAAAAAAAAGAGUAAGUCUUACAAAUAACAUCUCAUCCUCUAUUCUGCAUUCCUGAGACCACUUUCUCUGAUCUGAAAACAGGCAUUCUUUCAUAAAGAGGAGACUUCGAUAGCAUAUGACCCCACCAAAAAUAUGUGUGCAUGUGUGUUUUUAAAGGAGAGGGAAAGAUUCUAAAAUCCUUAGAAACAUUAAUUUGGGGUGGGAGUGGAAGUAGAUUAAACAAUAUCACAUGAUUGUCCUGUCAUUUAAAUGCAAAGCAGAGAUAAACGCUAAUAAAGAAAGUCAGUGACCUUCUAGAUUAUGCUGUGGGAAAAUUCAAGGCAUUCUGAAAUUCACAUUUGUCUUCCUUCUGGCAUUGCUUGGUCUAUGUCACAAACCAAAGCAACUACUACAGUUUAAAAAGACCAGAAAUUAACUGUACGCUUCUAAUCUCCAAAUUUCAAAUUUUAUCCAGAAAAGCAUUGUACUUCCUUCUUUCGUCUUAAACUUUCAGUAGCUAUGGGAGCAGAAACUGAAAGCAAAGGCCCUAGAAUCUCUGAAGGAACAACUGUAAUUCAACAAUGAGAAAUCCUUUCAUUCCUUCUGCUUCUAUUCUCCCAAUCUAAUUUUUUCUCUCUCUCACACACAGACACACACAAAAGGACAGUAUCAAGGAAGGAAUCACAAACUUUAACAAAAUACCAAGGAAAAAAUGACAAACGAGAAAAUAUCUUGCUGGCAAGAACUUAGAUAAUGUUUAAGAAGGUAAUUGAAGUCUAAAAAAAGAAUCAUGAGAGUUCCGUCAUGGCACAGUGGAAAAGAAUCCAACUAGUAUCCCUGAUGAUACAGGUUCAAUCCCUGGCUUCGCUCAGUGGGUUAAGGAUCCGGUAUUGCUGUGCUGUAGGUCACAGACUUGGCUCGUUUGUAUCCUGCAUUGCUGUGGCUGUGGUGUAGGCUGGCAGCUGUAGUUCUGAUUCGAACCUUAGCCUGGAAACUUCCAUAUGCCAUGGGUGCGGCCCUAAAAAGCAAAAAAAAAAAAAGGAAAAUUAAAAAAUUUUUAAAAAUUAGCUUUUCCUAUUAUUUAUAUGAUAAUCUUGAAUGCCCGAAAUGGGCUUGAAAAUCAAAAGAAAAAGACAAACAGGGAAGCAAUCAAGAACUGAAGGAAGAUAAUGCAAGUGACAAAAAAAUUAGGAUUUUUUUUUCCUUUUCCUUUUUAUUUAUUUAUUUUGUCUUUUGUCUUUUUAGAGUGGCACUUGCGAAAUAUGGAGGUUCCCAGGCUAAGGGUGUAAUUGGAGCUACAGCUGCUGGCCUAUACCAGAGCCACAGCAACAUCAGAUUCGAGCCGUGUCUGCGACCUAUACCACAGCUCAUGGCAACGCCAGAUCUUUAACCCACUGAGCAAGGCCAGGGAUCGAACCCACAACCUCAUGGCUCCUAGUCUUGCUCAAUGGAUUAAGGAUCCAGUGUUGCCAUGAGCUGUGGUGUAGGUCGCAGACACGGCUCAGAUCUGGUGUUGCUAUGGCUGUGGCAUAGGCUGGCAGCUACAGCUAUAAUUAGACCCCUAGUUUGGGAAUCUCUGUAUGCCGCAGGUACGGCCCUAAAAGACAAAAGACAGAAAAAAACAACAACAACAAAAAAUAAGUGUUGGUGAAGAUGUGGUGAAAAGGAAGCCCUCAUGCGCCAUAGACAGGAAUGUAAAUGGAUGCAGCCACUAUGGAAAACAAUAUGGAGGUUCCUCAAAAAUAUUAAAAAUACAACCACCAUAUGAUCCAACAAUUCUACUUCUUGGUAUUUACUGGAAGACAACAAAAACACUAACUUGAAAAGGUAUCUGCACCUCCAUGUCCAUUGCAGUGUUUAGUUACAGUAUCUAAGAUGUGGAAUCAUCCUAAGUAUCCAUGAUAGAUGAAUGGAUAAAGAAAAUUACACACACACACACACACACACACACACACACACACACACAGGAAUAUUAUUCAAUCAUAAAAAAGAAGGAAAUCCUGCCAUUUGCAACAACAUAAAUGGGCAUCCUCUUAAGUAUAAUAAGUCAGAGAAAGUCAAAUAGCAUAUGAUCUCACUUAUAUGUGAAAUCUAAAACCAAACCAAACAAACACCAAACUCUGAUGCAGAGAACAUGCUGGUCGUUGUUAGAGGCAGAAGUUGGAGAUGGUGAAAUGGAUGAAAAGAGUCAAAAUGUACAAACUUCCAGUUAGGGAUAAAAGGUCCUGGGAAUGUAAUGGUGACCAUAGUUAAUAAUACUGUAUUGCGGAGUUUCCAUUGUGGCUCAGAGGAAAUGUGUCUGACUAGCAUCCAUGAGGAUGCAGGUUCAAUCCCUGGCCUCGAUCAGUGGGUUAAGGAUCCGGCAUUGCUGUGAGCUGUGGUGUAGGUUGCAGACUCGGCUCGGAACCCUCGUUGCUGUGGCUGUGGUGUAGGCUGGCAGCUGUAGCUCCGAUCCUACCCCUAGCCUGGGAACCUCCAACGCUUUGGGUGCAGCCCUAAAAGGACAAAAAGAAAUAAUAAUAAUAACGUAUCAUAUACAGUUGACCCUUGAACAACAUGGGUUUGAAUCAGGAUUUCUUUCCAACAAAUACAUGACCCACACUUGGUUGAAUGCAAGGAUGUGGAACCUCAGAUACCCGGCCGGGGGAGGUGGGGGCUGGGGUGCUAUAAAGUUCUGUGCAGAUUCUGAAUAGCUCAGAAGGUUGGCAUCCCUAAUCCCUUGAGUUGUUCAACAUCAACUGUCUUUUCCUCUUUGAGGAGAAAGCAUUUGGUCUUUCAUCAUUCAGUAUGAUUUUAGCUAUGGUUUUUUUCCAGAUGCUCUUUAUCAGGUUGAGGACGCUUCCUUCUAUUUUGGGUAUGUAGGAUUUUUUUUUUAAAUCAAAAGAAGUGUUUGGGAGCUCCCUGGUGGCCAAGUGGUUAAGGAUCUGGUAUUGUCACUGCUGUGGCUCAGGUGUGAUCCCUGGCCUGGGAACUUCUGCAUGUUGUGGGUGAGGCCAAAAAAAUAAACAUAUAAAACAUAAGCACACACACAGAAAGUGUUGGGUUUUGUUAGUUUUUUUUUUCUAAAUUUGAGAUGAUCAAAUGAUUAUAUUGCACAUCUGAAACUAAAGUUAUAGAUAAAUUAUACCUCAGUAAUAAAGAGAUCCAAUCCACUAAAACCUCAAUGCAUGCAUUUUCAAUUUUCAAAAAGCUAUAACAGGAGUUCCUUCGUGGCUCAGCAGUUAACAAACCCAAUUAGGAUCCAUGAGGAUGGGGUUUGAGCCCUGGCUUCACUCGGUGGGUUAAGAAUCCAGCAUUGCCAUGAGCUGUGUAGGUCGAAGACUCGGUUCAGAUCCUGCAUUGCUAUGGCCGUGGUGUAGGCUGGCAGCUGUAGGUCUGAUUCGACCCCUAGCCUGGGAGCUUCCAUAAGCUGCAAGCGCAGCCCUAAAAAUCUAUAAAAAAAAAAAAAAAA
rnacentral:lncRNA from 1 species